rnacentral:snoRNA from 1 species
AAACCAUGCAUCGGGCAUUUUCUAAGUAAUUCUUUGAAUCUCUCCCAAACUUUAUACAAUGUCUCAUCCUCAGAUUGUUAAAAAGAUGUAAUAUCCUUCCUUAACUU